rnacentral:rRNA from 1 species
AGUGAACGCUGGCGGUAGGCCUAACACAUGCAAGUCGAACGGCAGCACAGUAAGAGCUUGCUCUUACGGGUGGCGAGUGGCGGACGGGAGAGGAAUACAUCGGAAUCUACUUUUUCGUGGGGGAUAACGUAGGGAAACUUACGCUAAUACCGCAUACGACCUACGGGUGAAAGCAGGGGAUCUUCGGACCUUGCGCGAUUGAAUGAGCGGAUGUCGGAUUAGCUAGUUGGCGGGGUAAAGGCCCACCAAGGCGACGAUCCGUAGCUGGUCUGAGAGGAUGAUCAGCCACACUGGAACUGAGACACGGUCCAGACUCCUACGGGAGGCAGCAGUGUCGAAUAUUGGACAGUGGUCGCAAGCCUGAUCCAGCCAUACCGCGUGGGUGAAGAAGGCCUUCGGGUUGUAAAGCCCUUUUGUUGGUAAAGAAAAGCAGCAGGUUAAUACCCCGCUGUUCUGACGGUACCCAAAGAAUAAGCACCGGCUAACUUCGUG